AUGUGGGCAGAAGCUCCAAGGAUGACACAACCUCAAGCCAUUGUGAGGGCAUCCCCAUUGGGCACACGCAGUGGGUCACCUGUCUCCAGUGGGGAGGGGAUGGGGUUCUUUCUGUCUGUAUUCUGUAUCCCAGGACCACACCAUCAAAGUAUACCGGGUCAUAAUGGUCUGCUGUGCCAGGCUCUUGAAGGUCACAGCCACUGGGGAAACAGGAUGACAGUCAGCACUGAGUCUGUGCUCCAUACUGAGACCUGUGAGCCCACCGAGGACACAGUUAAUGCCCAAGACCUCCAGGGGUCCUUGCAGAAGCUGAAGGAGAGGACAGUGGGCCAGUACAGCCUCAAGCAGGUCCAGGGCCCAGAAAGGGUGGCAUCUGGCUCAACUUCCACUUAUUCUUUUGGUCCUCAGCAGAGAACAAGAAGCCCCUUGUAUACAUGGCAGGACACCAGGGCAGUGCCUCCUUUGACAAGACCAUCAAGCUGUGGGAUGGAGGAUGGCAAGUAUGACCUGGCUUCCCUGCGUGGCUAUGUGGUCGGCAUGUACCAGACUACAUGGUCAGUGACAGUUGGCUGCUGGUCAGUGGCAGCAGUGACAUCACACUGUAGAACACGAAGGCCCAGAGGCUGGCCAAAGAUCUGCCAGGCUACAAGGAUGAGUUUUGUGCUGUGGACUGGAGUUCAGAGAGCUCAAGAGCUGCAGGUCUUUUGUAUAGUCAAAUCAACAGCACGGAGAUUGAGUGACUCUUGAGAUCUUUUGUCGUGCUUAAGCUGUGAAGUUUGGAACCAUUCAUGAUCACAGAACUUUGCAAAGGCUCUGGCUUCAUCUCUUCUUGGGAAUACAUCCACAUCUUCCCCCAGCACCUGCAGGAAGCAGGGGAUGCUGGGAGUCUCUUUGUGCACAGGCGCGUCCCACACAGGCCCAACUGUGAUCCCAGGGCGGAGGUCAGGGCGCGCUUUCCAGGGCCAGGGCUGUGCCAAAGCAGCCCCAGAAAAACAUGGCCUGAUCUCUUUCCCCAGAGUCUCUUUGUUGGACCAAACUGUGUUUAUUCUUUAGUAUUAUGCAACAUUGAUGAAUAUGGAAAAGGCGAAAAGUAUUAAGAAAAAGAACGACAACAAUUGGAAUCCCACCCAGAGAUACCCACAAUUAAUAUCUUGCUGUAUUUCAUUCCAGUCUCGUAUCCUUUUCUCUCACCCUUGGUAGCUUCACAUCCUUCACACAGAGCUGUGUACUUGACCCCCCCCCCGCCACCAUUGCCAUUAUGUUAUACUCUCACUACUGAAUAUUUUUCUUUUUUUUCCCCCUAGAGCAUCAAUUGUAUUCAUGGGUUUAGAGAUAAUACAUUAUUUUUAUAUUAAAAUUAACAUGACCGUGUUUUGAAAUAGAUGACAAAAUAUGCCUGAAUUUUGUAAAUAAAAUACAGAAUUUCAAAGAAAAACGUGCUAGUGUCCUGGUGCUCCCCCAGAUCCUCAGAGCUGUGUGUUCACACUGCUUUGCCAUAGAUGAGGCAGGAGUGGAAAAGUCCAGAUGACUUGAAGUCGUUUUAUUGUAUCUCCU
rnacentral:lncRNA from 1 species